UACGUAGGGCGCAAGCGUUAUCCGGAAUUAUUGGGCGUAAAGAGCUCGUAGGCGGUUUGUCGCGUCUGCCGUGAAAGUCCGGGGCUCAACUCCGGAUCUGCGGUGGGUACGGGCAGGCUAGAGUGAUGUAGGGGAGACUGGAAUUCCUGGUGUAGCGGUGAAAUGCGCAGAUAUCAGGAGGAACACCGAUGGCGAAGGCAGGUCUCUGGGCCGCUACUGACGCUGAGAAGCGAAAGCAUGGGGAGCGAACAGG
rnacentral:rRNA from 1 species